GGAAGGAGCCCGGGGAUGGAGGGAUGGGGGAAGGAAAGGGAGGAUGCUUUGCCCUGGCCUCACCUCAGCUCGGUGGGUGGGGACGGGCGAGCCCCUCGCCUCCUGCUCCUCCCCAGCAGCCGCGAUGGUCACUAACGGGCCGGGGGUGCGGUGCGGCUCCCCUCACCCAGCGCCGGGUCCCCGCCUCCUGCUCUCGCCCCGUCCCCGCCUCCUGCUGCCCGAGCCGCGCUCGCUGGGCUCUGAGGGAGCCGGGAGCCGCCGCCGCUAGGGGAGGAGGGAGCGCGCCUGCGCCACCGCCCGGGCGGCGAGACGGGAGGAGGCAGCGGGGCCGCCGGCGGCUCCAGUGCCCGGGGAGGGGGAGUCCGGUCCCGGCCCGGCUACCUGAGAGCGGCGCGGGGCUCGGGCGGCCUCAGUGCGCAGGUGCGCCAAGAGCAGCAGAAGUGACCAUGGAAGAGGCAGCGGGAGGGAGAAUCCAGAGCCCACUUGCCAGGAGUCAGUACAGGAGGAAAUGGGAGAGCUUGGAGGCAGAUGCCAUCCUAGGUAAGAAGUUCCCACACAGACCAUGCCCAUGAGCUGUGCAGGUAAUGGGGAAUCUUGGUCUACAACUGUUAAGGCUGAUUCCCCACUCUGGCACUUUGAGUGCAGAAGAUGGGCACCCGCAAGGAUUCUAAACAUUAAUACCGGCUAAUCCAUGCUUGUCUUAAACUCCCAAGGUUACAGCUUUUCUCUGAGCUUGGAUGGAUAGAUGCUGCCACCACCCAAGUGCAAAAACCCCUUUGAGAACCCAGGAAGGUGUACUUGGGAAUUCUUUCCUGUGGAGUACCUUCAAGCCCUUUCACCCCCCCCUCCGGGAGGCGCUGAGAAAGAAAACAAAGGCAAUCAGCUGUGGCCACCAGCUAAUUAAACAACAUGUGCACAAACAUCUUAGGACACAAAAUUCAAUCCUGUUCUUAAAAAAAGUAAAUUUUAUUGAAAACAAAAAGAAAGAAAAUAUAUUGAAAACCCAGGCUAUUGCUAGAUUUAAAAACCCACUUACAAAAAUUCAACAUCAAGAAUGACCUUCUUGAGGUCCAACUUAAAGGUUACAAGCAAAACAAAAGCAUUUGGGGUUAACACAGAGGAGUCCACAGGCACUGACUUCUGCUGGCGCUGGUGGGUGCUCAACCCCCCCCAGCCCCGCCCUGACUCCACCCCGCCCUCAUUCCAGCCCCU
rnacentral:lncRNA from 1 species